rnacentral:rRNA from 1 species
UACAUAGGGUGCAAGCGUUGUCCGGAAUUAUUGGGCGUAAAGAGCUCGUAGGCGGCCAGAUAGGUCCGUUGUGAAAACUCGAGGCUCAACCUCGAGACGCCGAUGGAAACCAUUUGGCUAGAGUCCGGAAGAGGAGAGUGGAAUUCCUGGUGUAGCGGUGAAAUGCGCAGAUAUCAGGAAGAACACCCGUGGCUAAGGCGGCUCUCUAGUACGGUACUGACGCUGAGACGCGAAAGCGUGGGGAGCGAACAGG